GACGAACGCUGGCGGCGCGCUUAACACAUGCAAGUCGAACGGAAAGGCCUGCUUUCCCUUGUGGAUUGCGGGUACUCGAGUGGCGAACGGGUGAGUAACACGUGAGUGAUCUGCCCCCAACUUGGGUAUAAGCCUGGGAAACUGGGUCUAAUUCCCGAUAGGACUGCAGGGUGGUGCCUGUGGUGGAAAACGAUUUUCUAGUGGUUGGGGAUGAGCUCGCGGCCUAUCAGCUUGUUGGUGGGGUAAUGGCCUACCAAGGCGGCGACGGGUAGCCGGCCUGAGAGGGUGGACGGACACAUUGGGACUGAGAUACGGCCCAGACUCCUACGGGAGGCAGCAGUGGGGAAUAUUGCACAAUGGGCGGAAGCCUGAUGCAGCGACGCCGCGUGGGGGAUGACGGCCUUCGGGUUGUAAACUCCUUUCGACCGCGAGGAAGCCACCUGGUUGGAAGGGUGGUGGCGGUAGUGGUAGAAGAAGCACCGGCUAACUACGUG
rnacentral:rRNA from 1 species